rnacentral:snRNA from 13 species
AUACUUACCUGGCAGGGAAGAUAACAUGAUUACGAAGGUAGUUUUCCCAGGGCAAGGCUUAUCCAUUGCACUCCACAUGUGCUGACCCCUGUGAUUUCCCCAAAUGUGGGAAACUCAACUGCAUAAUUUUUGGACUGUGUUUGCACUUUCCCCU